UACUUUUACUUAACAUGUAAGAAUUUACUUCUCACUCACUCAAAGUCUGCUAGGGGUCCAAUGACUCCCCAAGAUAGCCCUUUUCCAUGGAGUGACUCAGGGUUCCAGACAAUUUCCAUCUUGUGGCUUCAUCACCUCAUGAUAGAGAAAGAGGGCAGGAUGCAGCACCCUCUCCCAGUGUGAGCUGUGGAGGACACACUUCCUUCUCCGUGUUCAAUCUCUUCUUACUGAGGGCCUCCUGGUACCUCUACAUUCUGCUGCAAGGAGGCAUUUGCAGUAUGGAAUAAACAGGAACACCGGUAGCCCCCAGACACAACUGGGGGACUGUGCUGGCCCCUGCAUGCAGUACAAGAAGCGUUCAGCAGAGAGACCAAAGGAAAGGUUCACUUCAAGGCAGACCUUAAACUCAGAGCAUCCGGCACCCAACCCUGAGCCUCCUACAAGCUUUGUGCAGCUCGAUUGCCCACCCCCUCAUGUCACUGAGAAAGGAGUAACUAAACCAAGAUAUUUUUCCUGACCCAGAUGUCCUGGCCUGCUUUCUGGAGCUAAAACAUAGGAGGUAAUAAAAGCAGAAAUGAAAACACAACAUUUACAAAUAAAAAGCAGUAUCUCCCCCCGCCCCAUCCUUUAUUCUGCUGGAAACAUCAUGAGCCAGGACCUGCACACAGGCUGCCAGUCUCCAAAACGUGAACUAAAGAGUCCUAGAAAUGCUCCUUUUCUUCCCUUACAGAAAUUUGUUAAAUGAAACAUGAUU